rnacentral:misc_RNA from 1 species
GAUGAAGAACGCAGCGAAAUGCGAUAAGUAGUGUGAAUUGCAGAAUUCAGUGAAUCAUCGAAUCUUUGAACGCACAUUGCGCCCCUUGGUAUUUCAUGGGGCAUGCCUGUUCGAGCGUCAUUUGUACCUUCAAGCUUUGCUUGGUGUUGGGUGUUUGUCUCGCCUUUGCGUGUAGACUCGCCUUAAAAUAAUUGGCAGCCGGCGUAUUGAUUUCGGAGCGCAGUACAUCUCGCGCUUUGCACUCAUAACGACAGCGUCCAAAAGUACAUUUUACACUCUUGACCUCGGAUCAGGUAGGGAUACCCGCUGAACUUAAGCAUAUCAAUAAGCGGAGGA